GUCGACGCAAACCGGAACCUCCAUCAACAGAUUGCGCAAUACUGAGGGACGUCGACGUCGGGGGAAACCCUCUCGCGAACCAGCGAGAUAAUGCGAAAGACCAAGACCGGAAAACAACUAAAGCGCCCAGUUGUGGCGCUUUAGUUUU
rfam:Klebsiella pneumoniae subsp. pneumoniae DSM 30104 Contig0001, whole genome shotgun sequence.